UACGUAGGGUGCGAGCGUUGUCCGGAAUUAUUGGGCGUAAAGGGCUCGUAGGCGGUUUGUCGCGUCGGGAGUGAAAACCAUGGGCUUAACUCAUGGCUUGCUUUCGAUACGGGCAGACUAGAGGUAUGCAGGGGAGAACGGAAUUCCUGGUGUAGCGGUGAAAUGCGCAGAUAUCAGGAGGAACACCGGAGGCGAAGGCGGUUCUCUGGGCAUGAUCUGACGCUGAGGAGCGAAAGUGUGGGGAGCGAACAGG
rnacentral:rRNA from 1 species